rnacentral:sRNA from 1 species
CCGAGAAUGGGCCUUCUGCGCCCGCAGC